UGGGGUGUAGCUCAGUGGUAGAGUGCUUGUGCAACAUGCACAAGGCCCUGGGUUCCAUUCCCAGCACUACAA
rnacentral:tRNA from 1 species